CCCCACUGUCCACUCUCACACCAAAACCAGUAAAAAAAUAUCGUCACCUUCGCCGGCGAGAUGGCCCACCGCCGCAUCAUCCUCCUCCUCGCCGCCGCCGCCGUCGCCGCGACCUCCGCCGUCGCCGCCGCGUCCUCCGGCUUCGACGACUCCAACCCGAUCCGCUCCGUCACGGACCACGCCGCCUCCGCGCUCGAGUCAACCGUCAUCGCCGCCCUCGGCCGCACCCGCGACGCCCUCCGCUUCGCCCGCUUCGCCGUCAGGUCGGCGCCGCCCCCCCCGUUCGGUUCCCCCUAAUCCCACCCCACCGCCGCUGCCGCCGCCGCCGCCGCCGCGGCCAUUCGUCUUCCUCGUCGUCCUGACCUCUCGUUCGAUCUCGUCCUACGCGC
rnacentral:lncRNA from 1 species